CAGCCGCCACGGUAAGACGAACCGUGCAAACGUUACUCGGAAUCACUGGGCUUAAAGCGCACGUAGGCGGCGACAUAAGUUAGAGGUGAAAUCCCAUCGGCUCAACCGUGGAACUGCCUCUAAUACUGUGUUGCUUGAGGGAGAACGGGGCAUUCGGAACUUCCGGUGGAGCGGUGAAAUGUGUUGAUAUCGGAAGGAACGCCGGUGGCGAAAGCGGAAUGCUGGGUCUCUUCUGACGCUGAGGUGCGAAAGCUAGGGUAGCGAACGGGAUUAGAUACCCCCGUAGUCCCUGUCUCUUAUA
rnacentral:rRNA from 1 species